CAUCCGGCUCUCCUUAUCUGUUUCAAUUCGUUUCUCUUCUCUUCUCUCUGGUUAAACACGAAAGGUUGUGUUGGUUGAGUCCAAGGGACACGCCUAGACUUUGGCCGGACAUAAUCAAACCGCUAGCCUAGACACGGGUCGGUUAGUGGGAUGAUCCGAUUGCACCAAGACUGGGCGGUUAGGACGAACGGUUGGGAAUGACCCAAAGGGCAUGAGUUUUCAAGAGUCAUGAAUGUCCAAGAGGCACGAAUGGCCAAAGGGUACAUGUUCCAAACGGUGUCUUUCGGGACAGGUUAGGACCGAUCCUUAUGGAUCAGCCUAUGGAUUGUCUAGUUAAGACAAGGUCACGGUUUGUCUAUGCCAAGGUAGAGUCGCAAGGUCUGACCGGUUGCUAAGCCUUCCGGAUUAGGGUUGAGGCUUACUCGGCCGAUUGGAUCCAGGCCUAAGGCCGGAUCAGGUAAAGGAGUCCGUUGGGCCAUUGAGCCGGACUCCAUUGGCCGGUCGCACCUAGAUUCUAUCUGGUUAGACGGAUUUGUCUUUGGGGAUGAUCCGGAUCUGUUCGUGUGUUCUGUUUAUCUAUUCUGGAUGAUCUAUCUGAUUCUAAGUCAAGGGGUGGUUGGUUGAAUGACUUAGGAUACGGUAGGUAGGUUCAUUCGUUUUAUGAUUAUGUUGACUGAGGUUUAUCUAAGUUCUAGGAACCAAGCCAAGCAUUGUAGAAUCAAUCCGUUCUAUUCUCGGUUAUGAUUAAUGCUUAUCUGGUUGUGGUUUAAGGAACUAAGGAUGGAUUUGGUCAAGCCAAGGAGCCGUGAAGGCUCGCUCAGUGAGAGUCUCUGUAACGUGUGGUUAAAUGAUGCUAGGGAUGAACUAGUGAUUGUCUAUGAGACUGUUAAGAAGUUAUGUAUUGAAUCUCAUGUUUCUAAGUAAUACAAAGUGUAUACAUUAUUAUUCUGCUGUGCAAUCUAUCCCUUUGUUUAUGAACCUCAUAUUUGAAUAUGACUUCGUAAAGAAAAGACUUAGAAUGAAU